rnacentral:lncRNA from 1 species
GAGACAAACGCCUUCUCAGCCAAAAAGGGCCGGGACAAGCCGGGAUUAGAUAACAGGGGGUGCUAAUUUCAGGGAUUUGAUGUUUAGGAUUCAUUUCAGACUUCGACUAUGAUAUGAGGUUUUUCUCAGACUUUUUCAUUUUUAAACUAAAGUUGCCACCCGAAAAGAAAAAACAAACUAAAACUUACCAUCCUCAAAAAAGUUGCCAUGCUUGAAAACUAAAAUUGCCAUCCUUAUGUCACUAAACUUGCCAUAAAAAAUGUUUCGAGUUGCCAUGUAUUCAUGUCACAUAUAUGGCACUUGUCAGGGUCCACGGAAAAUUAGAGUCCUAUAUACAGAAACUGGUGUCCUAGUCUAUGUCGGAUAUAGUUUGCUCCGUGUCCUAAUUAAUUAGUAUGGCAAGUUUGCCGUGGAGAUCUAAAUGUACGUCUAUAUAAGCAAGCCAUGGCAGCUUGUAAUAAGAAUCAGAUCUUGCGAAGAAUUAUAUAGAAGGGUACGAUUGGAGCCCUCGGCAAUUUUGUUUUUGACGAGAUCGACAUGAAACGCCCGGCGAACAUGGGGCCUUCGCAGCCGGCAUCCUCAGAGACAAAGCGGAGCAAGAAGCAGCAGCAGCACGCUCCACCAUCGCCGUUACUACCGGAGGAGAUGCUCGGCAAGAUCUUUGCCCGGCUGCCAGUCAAGUCAGUUGGCCGCUUCCGGUGCCUGUCGCGCUUGUGGGCCGCCUCACUCUCAUCGGCCUCCUUCGUCGACCUCCACCACCAGCAAGCGAACCACCACCACCACCAGCAGCGGUCGGCAGGCACGCCGCCCAAUCUCUUCUUUAUGGGUGGGCACGGUCCGGGCCGGUCCGGUCCCGGUCCGAGCUGUCGUUUGGACCGGCCGCCGGCGAUCCGGUCCGGACCGGACCGAGCAGUGCGGCGGUCCUGAUUUCAGGGACCGGACGGGCGGACGUGAAGCUCGGUGCGGACCGACGGUCCCCACGGUCCCGGCGAUGUUGAGUCACUGCCACGUGGGCUCAGGAUGUCGUGCAAGUAAGCAAGCAAUCUAUUACGUGCAAUGAGCCCACGAAUACCCGUCUACACCUACGCCGUGAUGAGUGGGUCAAGUUGGAUGUGGAGUUAAUUGUGGGAUGGCACUGUAAUUCUCGGAUCGAACCUGUUUCUCUUGUUAGUCACGAAUAAAAAGGAAAGAGUAGCGUGGAGUUAGUCGUGGGAUUGACUCGACCGUGAUAGGAUCAAGGUUUUGGAUUCUGAAUGGACGAAUUUUCUCGUGGGGGAGCGAGAUUCUCGGUUACCACGGUUACCGAGAAAUACCGAAUAUAUUUCGGACGAAAUUUAUUUUUGAAUUUUGAAUUCAAAAAAUUUUAUACUAGAGGUAGAUAGAACUUAAACUGAUAUUGCACAACGAAGUGGUAGUAUCUCAGUGGAACAUCUACCCGCUCUAGGUAAAGAGGUUAGGAGUUCCAGUCUUGCCCGCUACUUCUUUUUUCACGUAUUUUUUUUGAAAAAUAGACAAAAAAUGUUGUGUAGAGUAGGGGAAUCGAACGUGCGUCGUCUGGGUGAAGUAACUACAUGGUUACCAUCGCGCCGCAGCUAAAUUUUGUCAUACUACAGAGAUGCUCGCUUAUUUCAGACUACGUUGUACGUAAAAAUUCAAAAAAAUCGGAAUUUUUUGCUCGGGAUCGAUCUUUCUCGUGGGGCAGCGAGAAACUCGGUAUCCGCCCGGUAACCGUUUUUCUCGGGCGGUACCCAAAACCAUGGAUAGGAUAACUACCUCUUACGGAACGACCAUCCAAAAUCAGGGGAGAAUCGGUUCAAGAAUCCUGUAGGCAGUUAUUUUCAUAGAUGUAGCGACAAAUUCUGGUGGGAUAGCGCCGUGAUUAUGGAAUAUCCUAAUUUCUCUCGGUCUUCUUCGGUCCAACCGAGUGGACCGGGCUUUAACCGGACCGGACCGAAUAUUUUUCGGUCCAUAUUUCGCAGACCGGACCAGCUAUGUUUUUGGGCGGGCUAGGACCGAGCGGGCCAAGCCCGCUCGUGUCGUCCACCCUGACUCUUCUUCACGACCGCGCAGCGCUGCCUCCACGCGUGGUGGUGGCGGUGGCACGACGAGGAUGGUCUGCCAGUAAUGCAACGGCAGACCGGCGCGAUGGCGCUCUCUCUUCUUCCGCAGCUGGACAGCGAGUCAGCGACCAUGCUCUCCGGGUGCUCAUCCCAAAGCCUUGCCACGGUCUUGUCCUGCUCCACCGCUGGCCCUAUCAUGGUCACUACGUGUGCAACCCGAGCACCGGCACACUCUGGUGUCUUCCGGACACCAAAAUACCGAGCAGGAUGUGCUGGUGGUACAACUACAGCCUACCGGGCACAUACGUAAACUGCGUCUCCUACGGCCUGGGUUACGAUCCAGACGCCAAGGAACACAAGGUGGUACGGCUCUUCUACCUCAACGAAAGAGGCCGCAGAGCUGCGAUCACUGUCUGUGAGGUCUACUCGAUUGGAGGGAGCCAAGCAGGCGUGCACUGGAGGCCCGCCGCUCAGCGUGCCCCCUCGUGCACCGUGCAUCCAUGGCGGCCGCUGUGUUCUUCAGUGGAAGCCUUCACUUUGUCCAGCAGCAGGAUCGUGGUGGCCACUGCAGCUGCAUCAUCACUUUCGACGUAUGCGACGAGACUUUCAAUUUGUUGAUGCCCCCAUCGGGUCUACGCAAUGUAGUGUUCGAGCUGGCAGUGCUGGAUGGAUGCUUGUGCCUUCAUUAUUGAAAUGAUGCUACUAGCGGUGACGACACUGCUAGUUUUUACAUCUGGCGGCUAAUACCGCCAUAUCAUCAUGGUCAUGGUGCUGGGCAAUGGGAGCAGCUCUGCUGCAUCUGCCGACAGGCUUGGCCAGAAGCUCUGUUGCACUUAGACUGGAUCUCUUCGCUUGAAAUCUACCGUGGUGCUGAUGGACACAAGAAGGUUAUGUUUGCCACUUGCACUCUCACUGUGUUCACGGUAGACAUCGAGCUUAAUGGUGAUUGCGCACUGGAGACCCUACUCUCACCACCGAUAUAUAGGCGAUUCUCUCAUGGAUACCUUCAUUGGGAUCAAUUCCAGCUCCCAUACCGUUGGUUUGUUGGAGGACUGUCUUGUGCCCGUAGGCCGUCCAAGUGAGGAAAUCAUCUUCUCUUCGUUGUCUAACAGGGCUUGGUCCAACGUUUUCAAGUGGUUGCCAACGUGGUCUGUUGUUCCUUUGAGGCGUGUAUGCAAAGACUGGUGUGCACUAAUUAAGAGCGAUCAGUUAAUAAAGCUACACACUAUCCACGCAAACAUGGGCCUAAAGACACCCCAAAUCAAGUUAAUCUCGGCUGUCGACGCACUUUUCACGCCUCUAGGUCAGAGAGAGCUUCGGCAGAUGGAACUUGGGGCAUUCAUGAUUUGUGGCAGCAUGAAAGUGGUGUGCUCUAAGGCAUGCCAUGGUCUCGUUGUUGGUAGUUGCACCAUGCCGGGCUUUUCAUUUGAUUUCAUAUGCAAUCCUACCAUGGGUUAUUUCAAGCAGAUGGAUCUAGAUCCCGACGCGGACUCCACUUGUGCUGCUGGAAGGAUCGGACUAGGGUACGAUUCAAGUAUGAAUAAGCAUGUACGAGUACGUCUUGUGUACCAUGAGAGGAACAUGGGGACUCGGAAUUAUCCAUUGGGGUGUUUUUUCCAUCUCACCGACACAGAAACAUGGAGGCCAAUCAACCCUCCGCCCAGGCCAGUGGCCGAAAUGCAGCAUGUCUUUGUUGAUGGCACGCUCUACUGGUUGAUUGAUCCAAAUCUUGGGACAAAGUCUUCUCUAGGGUGUGAAAUGUUGGCAUUGGACAUUAGCACGGAAGAGUUUGAGGUGGUUCCAGGACCCCGAUGCAUCUACAAUCAGAUCACGUCCAUCGUCGAGCUUCAUGGUACUAUUUGCGUCGUGUGCUCGGAUAGGAGUGCGAACGCAAUGGACAUCUGGAUGUUGGAAGGCGACGUAUGGUAUAUUGGGUGUCGAGUAGAGCUCGGGGAGUUUUCAAACGAGUAUUCUCCAGAAGAAACUGCGCCGUUGACUGUCGAUCCUACAAACAAGAGGUUGUUGCUUAGCACAGGAAGGGCGAUAUGGUAUUAUUGUCCAAUGACAAAAACAAUAGAGACCAUUCACCGUCUGGCCGAGACUUGAGAUGACUGCAAGUUCGCUCCAGUACUCUGUGAGGAAUGUUUGAUAUGUCCAUAUAUUCGUUAUGAGAAAGCCACCUAUAGUUUAGGAUGCAUGUAACCGCAAGCACAUUUGCCCGAAAAUGAACGUCUCUAUGUAUCAUAUUUUGGAUGUGUGUUAAAAAACACAUUAGAUAUAAAGUGAAAUGUGUUAUUAGUCAAUUAAGUCAAACUGAUUGCAUGCUUUAGGUCAAUAACUCAGGAACCGGCAUAAACUCAUUUAUUUAAUCAAAUAAGGCCAAAACCGAUUUGAGAGGGAAAAAACCGGCUACGUGACUGUCACGUCAACAUAGCUUAGAACAUUAGCGCUUUGGUUAAUUUGUAGAAGGUGUUUUUUUGCAAAUGUCAAUCAAAAUCUAUACCUAUACAUUUCCGAGUCAUUCAUCUAGUGGGGCUGAAUUAUUACGAUGAAGAGUGAAUCAUAAAAUCCUGAGCCAAAAAAAUGAUUUUCACGAUUGUAUAGACAGAAGAAAAAAAAUUCCCAUCUCCGAAAAAUGUCACGUCCAUCCAUGGAAAAAAGCUUCACGCCAUUGACGGCCUCUUUCGAAACUAAAACAUAGUAGUCUGAUAAAUCACAUCGUAUCACUAAUAUUAUACUAUUAAACAAGCAAACAUUUUCUUUUCUAUGGACGCCCUCCCCGCCUCCGCCGCCGCCCCACGCGAUGAAUGCCAUCUUUCCCCUAUUUCCCUCUUCUCAUCUGUGGUCAUGCUGCAUCACCGGCCGAGCCCCACUGCGGUCGCCGUGAGCCGCCGCCUCACCAUGAGUGGGUGGUGGGCGUGGCGCUUGGAGAUGGGCCGGACACUGCCACGUGGUGAGAGGCCGUCACGCGGGAGGGCUUCGCAACGCAUUGGCCGUUGGCUGCUCGGGUCGCCGUCGCUACUCCUGAGGGUGUCGUGUGCCAAGAGGUCGAGGGAGUGGCCCAGCCGCCGGUGUCCUCGCGCGCGCGCGCUUGAGGGCAUCGCUGCGACGUUGCGGAAGGUCGUGGCCUCGGGCGUCGCCGAUCUGUGCGGAUGCAAGGCGAGAACCAUGCCGUUCACCGGGGAGCAAUACCACGGCAGUGGUCGUUGUAGCGAGCGCUCCGUGAGGGACGCUAGCAUGGGCGGCCGUCACCGCCUGCUGCUCUCCUCUGCUGCACCACAAAUGCGAGCAAGGUUCUCCGUCGUCGUUCCUCCAUGAAGGCGGGAAAGCCAACCUCGCCGCAUACGGUUGUGGGCUAUUCGCCAGCACUGGUAGUUUCCACGAGAUUGUUCCCACUGGCAGAGCUAAAGGGCGGCAAAAGGGAGUCGUGGCCCACCGGGAAAAUAUCUAGUGUUACUGAGGCUUAGGUCCUAUACGGUGAUACGGGCUUUUGGGUCGUCGGAUUCUCAGAUCGGACGGCUCCCAGUAACUCUGCCACAUUUGUAAAAAAAAAUCCUUCAGGAGUCCAAAAAUUGCGCAUAAGUCUAGCAGACCCAACAGCUCCUAGAUGCCGUCUGUUCUGAGAAUCCGACAGCCGAGAAGCCCGUAUCAUGAUAGCACUUGAGUCUUGGUAGCACCAGAUACUCUUCCGUGGCCCGUCCAGCACAAAACCGGAGAGUUGCAUAGCAGCCUGACUGAAUGAGCGUGACGAUAUAUUCAGUCAAUGGUUCUCCUCAUGGUGCUUGUCGCGCGGCUUUGCUCCAUGGAGAGGCUGCUUCUCGAGCUCCCCAACACAGUCCAGAAAAUGCUGUUUUCAAAGGUACGCGUCGUGCCUACACCUAUUUGCAGGCACACAUGUUCAUGUCAGAAUUGAAGUGUCGCAUUUUUUUUUUUUGCGACUUGAAGUGUCGCAUUUUGGAUGUUUGGAUCCGCAUAGUUACUUAGUUAGUGAAAUUCCCUCUUAAAAGGUAGCUAUACAGAAGGUAGGAAAUGCACAUUUCAGGACAGUAAAAUAAACAGCAAAUUUUCAAUUAGAAAGUUUUUUUUUUGGCAAGAAUAGAAUGUUGUCUGGUACAUAAGAGCGCACAUUUAAAGAACUUCAUGAUAUAUACUAUUUAAAGUUCAGAUUAUCAUAUUUUUUGUGCAAAUGAAAUUAUCAACUUGUGAUCAUGGAGCAGACAUUAGAUGUAAUGUUCUUCGUUUAGUGAAGAUGACUGCAUUAAAAUAUAUAGAAAUGGUCUAUAUAUUGUCUGUGUAUUGACUAUUGACUGAAUAUUCAACUUGUUACAUACCCCGCCGGUAACUAGCACGGCGACCCGGCGACGGGUGACCCAGGCAAUGAACACAACCGGCAACACACGCGGUUUGCACAAGUACUUUCUUUUACCAAUAAUAAUUGCAUCUCAGGGCAUCAUCUUUAGUACUAGGACAACAUCCAUGACUGCUUCGCGAACACAACUGCCAUAUGCAUUCCGAUAUGAGGUGACAUUUGUUUUGUCUAUCCGCCUGAUGUGCGAUUAUUUACACUUUUCUCGAAUGGGCUUGUGCGUGAAUUAGUGGAUGCACGCGAGAUGCUUCUAGAUGUAAGUUUAGAUAUUGAGUUAUUCAGUUGUGAUAGUUCAACUGCUCAGAAAUAUACUGUUAGUACGAUUUUGUGAUGCUGCAAAAGGCAAUUGAAUUUUGUGUAAAGAGAAAUGUAAUAAAGAAGCUAUAAUUUUCUGAAGGUUUCUUAGUUCAAGGAAACAACAAAAAUUAACCAAUCUAUUACCUAUGGUGAGCAUGAACACACUUUCCCUUCAUACUAUGCCUUAAUAGUAUGGAAUAUGUAUGUUAUCUUUUUGAAAGUUUUCUUAAACUGAUUAGUAACCCAUUAAAUUAUUCUCAAUUUUUCAAUUUACAUGUUUUUAUCAGGGCAAGCAGGCUGGUAUCUCUGUUGUACUCAUGACAUUUGGGUUGCUUUUUGAGUGAAGAGCUGCCUUUGUUUUCAAUCACUACCUGGGUGGAAAAUCCCUACCAAGUGUUUGUAGAGAAGCAUAUGAGAGCUAUUAGCUACUAGCAAAAGAAAAAUCCAAUUGUUGGUAAUUUAUUUUCGUGUAACUAGAUUUAUUUCACGUCAUGUUUUUUAAGACAAUAUGACUAUUGUUGUUAGUUGCACGGGAUGUGGAUUAUGUUUUAUUAAUAAUACAUUAUUAAUAUUAUUUUGUUGCUUUU